rnacentral:rRNA from 1 species
UCGAACGCUGAAGCACCAGCUUGCUGGUGUGGAUGAGUGGCGAACGGGUGAGUAAUACGUGAGUAACCUGCCCUUGACUCUGGGAUAAGCCCGGGAAACUGGGUCUAAUACUGGAUGCUACAUGUCACCGCAUGGUGGUGUGUGGAAAGGGUUUACUGGUCUUGGAUGGGCUCACGGCCUAUCAGCUUGUUGGUGAGGUAAUGGCUCACCAAGGCGACGACGGGUAGCCGGCCUGAGAGGGUGACCGGCCACACUGGGACUGAGACACGGCCCAGACUCCUACGGGAGGCAGCAGUGGGGAAUAUUGCACAAUGGGCGAAAGCCUGAUGCAGCGACGCCGCGUGAGGGAUGACGGCCUUCGGGUUGUAAACCUCUUUCAGCAGGGAAGAAGCCACAAGUGACGGUACCUGCAGAAGAAGCGCCGGCUAACUACGUGCCAGCAGCCGCGGUAAUACGUAGGGCGCAAGCGUUGUCCGGAAUUAUUGGGCGUAAAGAGCUCGUAGGCGGUUUGUCGCGUCUGCUGUGAAAGCCCGGGGCUUAACCCCGGGUGUGCAGUGGGUACGGGCAGACUAGAGUGCAGUAGGGGAGACUGGAAUUCCUGGUGUAGCGGUGGAAUGCGCAGAUAUCAGGAGGAACACCGAUGGCGAAGGCAGGUCUCUGGGCUGUUACUGACGCUGAGGAGCGAAAGCAUGGGGAGCGAACAGGAUUAGAUACCCUGGUAGUCCAUGCCGUAAACGUUGGGCACUAGGUGUGGGGGACA